rnacentral:rRNA from 1 species
UACGUAGGGUGCGAGCGUUAAUCGGAAUUACUGGGCGUAAAGCGUGCGCAGGCGGCUUUGCAAGACAGAUGUGAAAUCCCCGGGCUCAACCUGGGAACUGCAUUUGUGACUGCAAGGCUAGAGUACGGCAGAGGGGGAUGGAAUUCCGCGUGUAGCAGUGAAAUGGGUAGAUAUGCGGAGGAACACCAAUGGCGAAGGCAAUCCCCUGGGCCUGUACUGACGCUCAUGCACGAAAGCGUGGGGAGCAAACAGG